rnacentral:misc_RNA from 1 species
AGCAGCCGCGGUAAUUCCAGCUCCAAUAGCGUAUAUUAAAGUUGUUGCAGUUAAAAAGCUCGUAGUUGAAUUUCGGGAUUGACACAUCGGUCGUGCCUUAAGGGGCAUGAACUGGUGUAGUCAAUUUCUCACCUUCUGGAGAACCGCGAUGCCCUUAAUUGGGUGUCGCGGGGAACCAGGACCUUUACUUUGAAAAAAUUAGAGUGUUUAAAGCAGGCAUUUUGCUUGAAUACAUUAGCAUGGAAUAAUAAAAUAGGACGGCAUGAUUCUAUUUUGUUGGUUUCUAGGAUCACCGUAAUGAUUAAUAGGGAUAGUUGGGGGCAUUAGUAUUCAAUUGUCAGAGGUGAAAUUCUUGGAUUUAUUGAAGACUAACUACUGCGAAAGCAUUUGCCAAGGAUGUUUUCAUUAAUCAAGAACGAAAGUUAGGGGAUCGAAGACGAUCAGAUACCGUCGUAGUCUUAACCAUAAACUAUGCCGACUAGGAAUCAGACGAUGUUAAUUUUUUAAUGACUCGUUUGGCACCUUACG